rnacentral:lncRNA from 1 species
GUUUCUGCAGACAAUCCACCUUGAGAGCUUCAACAAUUACACUGAAACAAAAUCAAAAAAUACACAGGAUUUUUCAACCAAGUUUCAAAUACAAUUCUAAGAACACAGCUAACCACAGUCAAAACUAAGUUCAAUAAAAUCUCAAGCAAGUAGAAAGGGAUUAUUAUAGUUAUGAAGAGGAUUCGUACCCAGGAAGUCAACAAGGGCUGGGUAACAAAUUGAACUUUUGAACAGUAGAAAAUAAAAGAAUCGGGCAUGUGAAUAAUUUAAGAUAAUACUCGUUUUGAGAUCCCAACGCAUCAAAGUGAGCACAACAAGAAUCAGGCAUGGAUUAGAUUUCUUGCAGAACCAAAACUCAGCCAUUUUCCAGACCAAAUAGAAAAUAAUCAGAUUAAUAAUCAAAUAAUCAGAUUAAUAGUCCAUAAAUUCUAAAAAUCUUUAAUAGCAACUUUGCCCAUAAAUUCUAAAAAUCAACAGUGUUACAGUAAAUAUGAAAGGAUAGAGAGUUGUCUCUGACUGGGAAGUGGGAGAUGUCGCCACACUGGAGAGAGAGAAGGAGAUAUCGCUGACUGGGGAGACAGAAGAUUUAUCGUCACUGGGGAGAGAAAGGAGAUUCAGAAAUAAAUAGAUCUCACAAACCUCAGAAAGCACACAUCUGAAAUCAUAAUUUCAAAAUAUCCAUCCAAACUUGCAGUGACAGAGGACGCGGCGAGGAGCAGCACCGGACGGCAAGACUGGAGCAGAGGAAGCGGCGGAGAAGAGCAAAGAAGCAAGCAGACCAGCGGACGCAGGAACCGGACGCAGAACGACGUUGACAGCGUGGAGCAAAGGAACAAUCGGCGGGAGGCGCACGGCUGUACCAGACGAGUGACGGAGAGGCCGAAUGGGGGAGGGGAGGGCGGCAGUAGACUUGAGAGUUGAGAGAGAUUUAA